AUUGAACGCUGGCGGAAUGCUUUACACAUGCAAGUCGAACGGCAGCACGGACUUCGGUCUGGUGGCGAGUGGCGAACGGGUGAGUAAUACAUCGGAACGUGCCCAGUCGUGGGGGAUAACGUAGCGAAAGCUACGCUAAUACCGCAUACGAUCUAAGGAUGAAAGCGGGGGAUCGCAAGACCUCGCGCGAUUGGAGCGGCCGAUGGCAGAUUAGGUAGUUGGUGGGGUAAAGGCUCACCAAGCCGACGAUCUGUAGCUGGUCUGAGAGGACGACCAGCCACACUGGGACUGAGACACGGCCCAGACUCCUACGGGAGGCAGCAGUGGGGAAUUUUGGACAAUGGGCGCAAGCCUGAUCCAGCCAUUCCGCGUGCAGGAUGAAGGCCCUCGGGUUGUAAACUGCUUUUGUACGGAACGAAAAGGCCCUGGUUAAUACCUGGGGCUCAUGACGGUACCGUAAGAAUAAGCACCGGCUAACUACGUGCCAGCCGCCGCCGUAA
rnacentral:rRNA from 1 species